rnacentral:rRNA from 1 species
UACGUAGGUGGCAAGCGUUAUCCGGAUUUAUUGGGCGUAAAGGGAACGCAGGCGGUCUUUUAAGUCUGAUGUGAAAGCCUUCGGCUUAACCGGAGUAGUUCAUUGGAAACUGGGAGACUUGAGUGCAGAAGAGGAGAGUGGAACUCCAUGUGUAGCGGUGAAAUGCGUAGAUAUAUGGAAGAACACCAGUGGCGAAAGCGGCUCUCUGGUCUGUAACUGACGCUGAGGUUCGAAAGCGUGGGUAGCAAACAGG